CGGAGUGUGGCGCAGCCCGGUAGCGCACUUGCAUGGGGUGCAAGGGGUCGAAGGUUCGAAUCCUUUCACUCCGA
rnacentral:tRNA from 2 species